rnacentral:tRNA from 1 species
UGGGAGUAUGGCGGAAUCGGUAGACGCACCAGACUUAAAAUCUGUUAAGGAUUAACCUUGUGAGAGUUCAAGUCUCUCUACUCCUAU